ensembl:lncRNA
UAAACUCGUCAGUAUCUCUGCUCUCUAACUGACCCGUCAAACACUGAAGAGAACAUGGAAGUCUGGUUUUGGAAUCUAGCAACAGAGAAGCUCGAAAAUAAAUACAGCCAAAGGAAAAAACACUAAAAAAUGGAGACUGGAGAAGGAAGGACGUUCAGGGAGAAACCACAGGCAGACCCGGGUGGAGUCGUAAUGACUGAGGCAGAGCACACGAGGAACAAGAAGAAGAGCGUGCCAAUGUCGGAGCUGCCAGAGGAAGCUCAGAGACUGAAGAGGGCAGCCUGGAGAGCAGCUUCCAGACGAUAUUAUGCUCGAAAGAUAGCUCGCCAGCAGGCAAACCCAUCACAAUCCAGCCCCUUCCCCCACAUCGCAAACUCUCAGAAUUCACAGCCCAGCUCUUUUGUGGAUAAGAGGAGGAGGACACUGAUAUCGGAGCUACCUGAAGAGUCUCAGACGCUGCAGAGAGAAGCUUGGAGAGCCGCAUCCAGGAGGUACUACGCUAGAAAAAUCGCUCGGCACCAGACGGAGACGACACAGUACAGAAACCUGCUGGAGAACAUAAACCCAUCUGGAGACACGCAGGGACCCAACAGGGAAGGACCUCACAUGAACACUGGAGGAAUAAUGUGCAGCUGAUAGACAGAAGUUUUACAUUUUAAAUGUUUCUGUUCAGCAGAUUGGAGGGUCCUUUUUACUGCGGUAUGAAGAAUAAUGAAAUCUGACUGUUUGUGUUUUGGUGGCUUUGAAUUAAUAAUGAUGGGAAUUGUCUCAGGUCUGAAUAACAUGAACCUGGUGUUUCAAAUGAGUCAUCUGUGCAUUUCCUCAGUUCAUGACCUCUUGAUGAUGUGUUAGGCAGCAGGUUUAAUCAGAAUCCUAGUACUAGUACCAGCAAAAUUGAACCUUUCACAUAUCACACAUUUCAAAAAUAUAUCAAACUAAAAAAAGAAAUAUUGGGAGAAAUUGUCUUGAUGUUCUAUAAAAUUAAAAGUUGAUCUCGCUCCUGUCAUCCUUCUGUCUCCAGGAAUUUUUGGUGGAGUCAUCCAGUGUCAGACUGUUUUUGAAGUUAACCUUCAUGAGAUCAACUCUACAUUCUGAUUUGUCUCCCUUCAUGUCAGCAAUAUUUGCAUGUACAAAACUUUUACUGGAAAAGAGCCUGAAUAAAUGUAUCAUGAGGCAAUAUGCAUAAAUCCAUGGCACUAACUAACAUGGCAGUACAGCGCCCCUGGAGAGUAACAUCUGUAACUACAGCGUGAGUGCAUCCAUAGUGGCUACAUUUUUAGCUCCACAUCUUUGAUUUCAGUGUCGGGUAAAGAAUUAUUAUUUCAGACAAUGCUGGUAAACUUUAAAGUGUAUUUUUGGACUUUGUCAAAUAUUAAAAACUGUCUUUCCCCUUCCCGUUGAAAUGAACUCCCAUCAGUUUCUGGGUUACACUUCAGUAUUUGAAGCCAGCAAGCAGGGUGAACACAGAAAUGUUAAAAUAUCUCAUUUUGCAGUAAAUGUGUACAAUAAAACAAAGUGACAACG